UUCCCUGUGGCUCAGUUGGUAGAGCAUGGUAUGUGCAAUGCCAGGGUUGUGGGUUCGAUUCCCAUGGGGGGCA
rnacentral:tRNA from 1 species